UCGAGAAUUUUGGGCAAUGAGCGAAAGCUUGACCCAGCAAUGCCGCGUGCGGGAUGAAGGUCUUCGGAUUGUAAACCGCUGUCAUGAGGGACGAAAUUUGACGGUACCUCAAGAGGAAGCCACGGCUAACUACGUGCCAGCAGCCGCGGUAAUACGUAGGUGGCGAGCGUUGUUCGGAUUUAUUGGGCGUAAAGGGUCCGCAGGGGGUUUAUUAAGUUUGAUGUGAAAUCCCGGAGCUCAACUCCGGAACUGCAUUGAAAACUGAUGAACUCGAGUAUCGGAGAGGAGAUUGGAAUUCCAGGUGUAGCGGUGGAAUGCGUAGAUAUCUGGAAGAACACCAAAAGCGUAGGCAGAUCUCUGGACGAUUACUGACCCUCAGGGACGAAAGCAUGGGGAGCAAACA
rnacentral:rRNA from 1 species